rnacentral:rRNA from 1 species
AGUGAACGCUGGCGGUAGGCCUAACACAUGCAAGUCGAACGGCAGCACAGUAAGAGCUUGCUCUUACGGGUGGCGAGUGGCGGACGGGUGAGGAAUACAUCGGAAUCUACUUUUUCGUGGGGGAUAACGUAGGGAAACUUACGCUAAUACCGCAUACGACCUACGGGUGAAAGCAGGGGAUCUUCGGACCUUGCGCGAUUGAAUGAGCCGAUGUCGGAUUAGCUAGUUGGCGGGGUAAAGGCCCACCAAGGCGACGAUCCGUAGCUGGUCUGAGAGGAUGAUCAGGCCAACUGGAACCGAGACAACGGCCCAACUCCUACGGGAGGCAGCAGUGGGGAAUAUUGGACAAUGGGCGCAAGCCUGAUCCAGCCAUACCGCGUGGGUGAAGAAGGCCUUCGGGUUGUAAAGCCCUUUUGUUGGGAAAGAAAAGCAGCAGGUUAAUACCCCGCUGUUCUGACGGUACCCAAAGAAUAAGCACCGGCUAACUUCGUG